CCUACGGGAGGCAGCAGUGGGGAAUUUUGGACAAUGGGCGAAAGCCUGAUCCAGCAAUGCCGCGUGAGUGAAGAAGGCCUUCGGGUUGUAAAGCUCUUUUGUCAGGGAAGAAACGGUGAGAGCUAAUAUCUCUUGCUAAUGACGGUACCUGAAGAAUAAGCACCGGCUAACUACGUGCCAGCAGCCGCGGUAAUACGUAGGGUGCAAGCGUUAAUCGGAAUUACUGGGCGUAAAGCGUGCGCAGGCGGUUUUGUAAGUCUGAUGUGAAAUCCCCGGGCUCAACCUGGGAAUUGCAUUGGAGACUGCAAGGCUAGAAUCUGGCAGAGGGGGGUAGAAUUCCACGUGUAGCAGUGAAAUGCGUAGAUAUGUGGAGGAACACCGAUGGCGAAGGCAGCCCCCUGGGUCAAGAUUGACGCUCAUGCACGAAAGCGUGGGGAGCAAACAGGAUUAGAUACCCUGGUAGUCCACGCCCUAAACGAUGUCUACUAGUUGUCGGGUCUUAAUUGACUUGGUAACGCAGCUAACGCGUGAAGUAGACCGCCUGGGGAGUACGGUCGCAAAGNUUAAAACCGCAAAGGAAUUGACCGGNUAGGAGAGAGACGACGGACGACGACGAGGGGAGGAGG
rnacentral:rRNA from 1 species